CGAGUGGCGGACGGGUGAGUAAUGUCUGGGAAACUGCCCGAUGGAGGGGGAUAACUACUGGAAACGGUAGCUAAUACCGCAUAACGUCGCAGACCAAAGAGGGGGACCUUAGGGCCUCUUGCCAUCGGAUGUGCCCAGAUGGGAUUAGCUAGUAGGUGGGGUAACGGCUCACCUAGGCGACGAUCCCUAGCUGGUCUGAGAGGAUGACCAGCCACACUGGAACUGAGACACGGUCCAG
rnacentral:rRNA from 1 species